rnacentral:rRNA from 1 species
UGCGUAGGCGGCCUGACAAGCCAGAGGUGAAAGGCUACGGCUUAACCGUAGUAAGCCUUUGAAACUGACAGGCUUGAGUGCAGGAGAGGAAAGUGGAAUUCCUAGUGUAGCGGUGAAAUGCGUAGAUAUUAGGAGGAACACCAGUGGCGAAGGCGACUUUCUGGACUGUAACUGACGCUGAGGCACGAAAGCGUGGGGAGCGAACAGGAUUAGAUACCCUGGUAGUCC